CUACAUUAGAUACCCCUGUAGUCCCAGCCGUAAACUAUGCUCGCUAGGUGUCAGGCAUGGCGCGACCGUGUCUGGUGCCGCAGGGAAGCCGUGAAGCGAGCCACCUGGGAAGUACGGCCGCAAGGCUGAAACUUAAAGGAAUUGGCGGGGAGCACCACAACGGGUGGAGCCUGCGGUUUAAUUGGACUCAACGCCGGGAAGCUCACCGGAUAAGACAGCGGAAUGAUUGCCGGGCUGAAGACUCUGCAUGACUAGCUG
rnacentral:rRNA from 1 species